rnacentral:sRNA from 1 species
GUUUUGCGUUAGGGAUAGGAGCGGCAUCCUUUUUUAAGGGGCGUUGAGGCUCUCGAAACGCCCCUUAAAAAAGAUAGAGCGGAUAGCCCGACCCUUG